UCACAACUUUUCAUUUCUUCUUUCACUUAGUCAGGAGCUUUUGGCCAAAAACUCUCCACUGCUUGGCGAACUGAAUCUGGAAUUCCUCCCAUCAAGUAAAAGCUUUCUCUUCUCUUAAGGGCCUCCUUUGCUAUAACAUGAGCGUAGACAUUCUCUGCCUUAGGGAUAAAAUGAAAGUCGAUCUCCUGGAAUCUAUCUUUUUUGCUUUGUAUGUCUCUGAUAAUUGCUCCAAUGACAGAUUUGUCUGUAUCACUUCUUUGGCAUUUCUUAAUGAUAGUUUUCGAAUCUCCCACUACUUCUAUUUUGUUUAACCCCAUAGAAAUCCCUAAUUUUAUUGCCUGUAAUCCUGCAUAUGAUUCUGCCGUGAACGAAGUUGCUAUCUCGGAGUGCAUGACUGCCUUCGAUGCGAGGAUCUCCCCCUCCUCGUUCAGUACAAGCAAACCCGUAGUCGAUCUGGACGAUAGUCGGUCGAAGGUUGCGUCAAAAUAAACUGUGAUCUUUCCCCUUCUACAUAUCUGUUGAGUAUUUUCAGCUGGUUGAAGAGUAAAUCUUGUCUCCUCUAUUGCAUCCAGUUCUACCAUAUAGUUCCGAGUUUGUCUUGCUAUUUCGAUUCCUGUCAUAUGUCUUCUUUCAUAUAAUAACUUAUUUUUGCUGAACCAGAUUAACCAAAGACCAUAACAAAAGAGCCAGAUCUGCUCAUCUGUUCCUUUAUCAUAGACCCAGGUAAGCCAUUGCCAUAUAUUCAGAUUAUUAUGGCUGAAAACCUAUGCUAGUCUUAACUGAUUCCAAACUUCAAUUGUAAAUGGACAUUGUUGAAAAAUAUGAGUGUUGUCCUUAUCUCCUUGGCGACAUCUAGGACAUUGGGCAUCCACCACAACCCUCUUGAGCCUAAGGUUGACAAGAGACGGAAUGAAGUUCCAAGAUAUUCUCCAAACUGUAAUUUGAAUUUUUGAGGGGAUGUAUAAUUUCCAUAGUUUUCUGUAGAAAUUUUUAAUUUCGGUCUGUCAAAUAAUAGUAUUAGGAUCCAAGCAAAUUUCAUGUAAUAGUUUGUAGGCACUCCUAACGGAGAACUCCCCUGUCAACUCCCCUUUCCAUACUUGAAAAUCUUCGUGUGCUGUCUUCGCUAGCGGGAUCUUCAGAGUUUUUUCCGCUACAUCCAUUUGGAAG
rnacentral:lncRNA from 1 species